UUUGGCCGGCGGUCAUAGGUUCUAUCCAAUAAUAUGAUGCGAGACUGGAGUAAAAUACAUCCACUUUAUUAAAGAAGGAGCAUGACAACACCACAAACACUCACCUCAACUAAACAAAAUGGCUUCCUUUUAUACUCUACCUUUUCAGGUGAGCAUUCGGGAAUAGCCCAAGUGUGGGGGUUAAACUAAUCAAAAUGAAAACAUAACCCUCCACACACACAAACAUACAAUAACAUUUAAGCACAUCACAAACAUAUACAUAUUUCCAACACUUACUAUAAACAAACCAAUUAUAUAAGCUACUCCCAUUACUAUAUAAAUUAAAACCCACUUUAACCAUACUCCCUAACCUGGCACACUGGUUUGCUCCAAGAGCUCUUAAACAGGUGAUUGAGCCACUUCCAAUCUUUUGCUCCACAUCCUGCACGAAGCGACCAGGACAGGUAGGAUGGCCAGUCCCACUGUCUCUUCACCGUUACAAGCUGUCAACUUAAUUGUAUGUCAAAACCUAAUAAAAGAAUUCAUAAGAACUAA